CCUACGGGAGGCAGCAGUGGGGAAUUUUGGACAAUGGGCGAAAGCCUGAUCCAGCAAUGCCGCGUGCAGGAUGAAGGCCUUCGGGUUGUAAACUGCUUUUGUACGGAACGAAAAAGCUUCUCCUAAUACGAGAGGCCCAUGACGGUACCGUAAGAAUAAGCACCGGCUAACUACGUGCCAGCAGCCGCGGUAAUACGUAGGGUGCGAGCGUUAAUCGGAAUUACUGGGCGUAAAGCGUGCGCAGGCGGUUAUGUGAGACAGAUGUGAAAUCCCCGGGCUCAACCUGGGAACUGCAUUUGUGACUGCAUGGCUAGAGUACGGUAGAGGGGGAUGGAAUUCCGCGUGUAGCAGUGAAAUGCGUAGAGAUCAGGAGGAACAUCCAUGGCGAAGGCAGCUACCUGGACCAACAUUGACACUGAGGCACGAAAGCGUGGGGAGCAAACAGGAUUAGAUACCCUGGUAGUCCACGCCCUAAACGAUGCGAACUGGAUGUUGGGUGCAAUUUGGCACGCAGUAUCGAAGCUAACGCGUUAAGUUCGCCGCCUGGGGAGUACGGUCGCAAGACUGAAACUCAAAGGAAUUGACGGA
rnacentral:rRNA from 1 species